GUCUCUCGGUAGCUCAGUGGUUAGAGCAUUUGAUCGGUGUAUGGAAGGUCAUGGGUUCAAAUCCCGUAGGGGACU